UCCCGCUUAGCUCAGUGGUAGAGCGCGUCACUAGUAGUCCUGCUUACGUCAUCAUUACGUAAUGACGAGGUCAGUCGUUCAAGUCGGCUAGUGGGAA